rnacentral:rRNA from 1 species
UACGGGGGGGGCAAGCGUUGUUCGGAAUUACUGGGCGUAAAGGGCGCGUAGGCGGCCUUCUAAGUCGGACGUGAAAUCCCUCGGCUCAACCGAGGAACUGCGUCUGAUACUGGAAGGCUUGAAUCCGGGAGAGGGAUGUGGAAUUCCAGGUGUAGCGGUGAAAUGCGUAGAUAUCUGGAGGAACACCGGUGGCGAAAGCGGCUCACUGGAUCGAAACUGACACUGAGGUGCGAAAGCUAGGGUAGCAAACGGG